rnacentral:rRNA from 1 species
UACGGGGGGGGUAAGCGUUGUUCGGAAUUACUGGGCGUAAAGGGCUCGUAGGCGGCCAACUAAGUCAGACGUGAAAUCCCUCAGCUUAACUGGGGAACUGCGUCUGAUACUGGAUGGCUUGGAUUCGGGAGAGGAAUGCGGAAUUCCAGGUGUAGCGGUGAAAUGCGUAGAUAUCGGGAGGAACACCGGUGGCGAAGGCGGCGACCUGGGUAGAUACUGACGCUGAGGUGCGAAAGCGUGGGGAGCAAACAGG